rnacentral:rRNA from 1 species
GAUGAACGCUGGCGGCGUGCCUAAUACAUGCAAGUCGAGCGAACAGACGAGGAGCUUGCUCCUCUGACGUUAGCGGCGGACGGGUGAGUAACACGUGGAUAACCUACCUAUAAGACUGGGAUAACUUCGGGAAACCGGAGCUAAUACCGGAUAAUAUAUUGAACCGCAUGGUUCAUUAGUGAACGACGGUUUUGCUGUCCCUUAUAGAUGGAUCCGCGCCGCAUUAGCUAGUUGGUAGGGUAACGGCUUACCAAGGCUACGAUGCGUAGCCGACCUGAGAGGGUGAUCAGCCACACUGGAACUGAGACACGGUCCAGACUCCUACGGGAGGCAGCAGUAGGGAAUCUUCCGCAAUGGGCGAAAGCUUGACGGAGCAACGCCGCGUGAGUGAUGAAGGUCUUCGGAUCGUAAAACUCUGUUAUUAGGGAAGAACAAAUGUGUAAGUAACUAUGCACGUCUUGACGGUACCUAAUCAGAAAGCCACGGCUAACUACGUG